UUACUAGGUAAAUGUUCCAGGCUUUGGGAUUAUUCUAAAUUAGGCAGUGCUAACUGGAAACUGAACAGCAUGGUCUGAUUAAGUCUCAAAAAUUUGAGACAUUUAGAAGAAAACCCACUCCAGUUAAUUUUGUGUUUACUGUGACUGAAUACUGUUGCAAAGAGUAUUUGGAUUUUCAAGCAAUUUCUUCUUCUUUUUUUUUUUUGUAGUAUUGGGUAUUGAAUCUAGGGUCUCAUGUAUGUUAGUUGUAUGAAUACAUUCGGAGGGGGCAACAUACAUGUACACUGAUAGAUGGAAGAGAAAAAUCUCCAGAGAAUGUGGGAAGUAAAGGAAAAUGACACUGCCCACCACCUUUCUGCUAGUCCUGAGCAAGGUUACACCAUCCGUCUGCGACUUGAUUGUUGGCACGAGCACACUUCCCAGAAGGAUCUGAGCGGGGUGGUAGAUGAGCAAGGGCACAGAUAUCAAUGAGAGAUGCUCGUGGCCUGCGAACACUAUCUUCAGCAUUGGAAUUCCUGUUCAACCAAGAAGACAGAAAACAGAGAGGCAAAUUCAAGCUGGCGUCAAAUAAAAAGCAUGCUCCAUGAAAAUCACAACUCGAAUUGGUUAUGACUCUAUUUCCCUACGUGUAUUCACAGACCUGUAAUGGGAAGUUCUCAAAGUUGACAGGUCUAGCUUCCUUUCAUGACACAAAGUUCUAAGCUCUAACUGGGACAGAUGAAGACUGUUUUGGGGCCAGUACCUCUCACUCCUUCAUCAGGAGGAGGAAGACUAAACGGAGCUGCUCUAAGAAGGCUGGAAAGGACUAAGGAGAGGUUAAUCUCGGAUCUCCUCUUGCUCAGUGGUGUGGGGACACUGGCUGUUAGGGUUCCCCAACGAUACAGGAAGAUAAUGUGUGGUACAGACAGCGGUCAUGAGAUGAUGCUCCAGCUGGGCGGAAGUCCUGAGAUUCAGCCCAGGACCUCACAACUUCUAAGCAUGUGCUCCACCCACAAACCCUGAAUGUUACGCUCAUGGCCAAGGAUCCCAAUGUGCUUUCCAGUCACGAAACAAUUUUAUAUGUAACAGGUAAAGUGCAAAACUAGCACUCAGCCAAGGCCUCGAUGGGACCAAACAGAUGAAUGCUGCAAUGUGAAUCUACUAGUCUAUUCUAAAAGAGUGAGGUGUGCCUGUGUCUGGGCAACUACCACCUUUGGCUUCUUUAGCUAGCAAAAUCCAGACACUAGCAGCUUGUGUGUUAGGACCCUUGCUUUCCUGUGGCCGGGCUCUCGGAACUGACGUACACACGUCAGCUCCUGCAACCAAGCGCUUUCAGAGUUCCGCUUUCUUCUUGUUUUUCUGAAAUGGUCUCUGACAAGGGUCCAAGCUCCUAAACAUGCCCGAUAAUGGUGCAUAAAUAACUUUUUAUUAUAACACAACAGGGAAGGCUUCGCUUUUGCAGUCAUUUUUUAACCUUCUAAUAAAUUUCCAACCUUUAUGCAAAAAUGUAUCUCAAGACUGCUCUCUUCCCACAGCCGCAUGCAACACUGCUGUAAACCGAAAACACUCAACCCUCCCCAACGGUCGGCUUCUCUCAGGGCUGCCACAGUACACACUUGGAGACGUUCUGUCUUCUAUUUCCAUGCUCACUAGAAAACUCAGAACAAUAACAACAACACUAAGACAAAGAACAAAAGAAAAUAAAAUAGACGAGCUCUUUAAAAGAACAGUAAAAGCCUAAACAUCCACGUGUUGUAAAGUAUUAUGCACAGCCUUAGAAAGUGUAUAGGAUGCACUGAGAGGCAAGCGCCACCCUCCUCUGUAGACAAGGUCCCCCUUCCCUGGUCCACACGGAUGAUACCCCGCCUGGAGAAUACGGAAGUCUGAUGAGCUCUGCUGCCCCUGAGGGACUUCUAAGGAGGCACCAGAGGAUGAGAUCCAGAAAGGAGGGUCACUGAGGCAGGGCAUGAAGGAGCCUGAAGGGAACAAAUGAGAGAAGCACCGAGAUCUUUUGUCCUUAACAGUGAGACCAGAGCAGGCUUUCUGACUAAAAUUUAAGGACUACCAUUGCUCAGCUAACUCAUCCCAGGUACCUUGCUGUGGCCAUGAACGAGGCACCGGAUACUGAUGCAGUUACCAACCAAUGAACCAACUGCAAAACAUCCAAGCAAAUAACAUGAUGCCAGAGGGUCCCCGACUGUGAUGAGGCAGGCAGAGACGAGAC